rnacentral:rRNA from 1 species
UACAGAGGGUGCGAGCGUUGUCCGGAAUCACUGGGCGUAAAGGGCGCGUAGGUGGCGACCUAAGCGUGCGGUGAAAGCCCGAGGCUCAACCUCGGGUCGGCCGUGCGAACUGGGUCACUGGAGCAGAAUAGAGGCAGGUGGAAUUCCGGGUGUAGCGGUGGAAUGCGUAGAGAUCCGGAAGAACACCGGUGGCGAAGGCGGCCUGCUGGGUUCUGGCUGACACUGAGGCGCGACAGCGUGGGGAGCAAACAGG